UCCCUGGUGGCUCAGAUGGUAAAGCGUCUGCCUGCAAUGCGGGAGACCCAGGUUCAAUCCCUGGGUAGGGAA
rnacentral:tRNA from 1 species